rnacentral:rRNA from 1 species
GAUGAACGCUGACAGAAUGCUUAACACAUGCAAGUCAACUGUGGCGGACGGGUGAGUAACGCGUAAAGAACUUGCAUCACAGAUAGGGACAACAUUCGGAAACGAAUGAUAAUACCUGAUACUGUGAGAGAGCUUUGCGUCCCAUUAGCUAGUUGGAGAGGUAACGGCUGACCAAGGCGAGGAUGGGUAGCCGGACUGAGAGGGUGAUCGGCCACAAGGGGACUGAGACACGGCCCGUACUCCUACUGGGGGCAGCAGUUGUGAAUAUUGGACCAUGGACCAAAGUCUGAUCCAGGAAUUCUGUGUGCACGAUGAAGUUUUCGGAAUGUAAAGUGCUUUCAGUUGCGAAGCGGUACCAACAGAAGAAGUGCCGGCUAAAUACGUGCCAGCAGCCGCGGUAAUUC